GGGUAACGUGAGGGAAGCUUGCUUCCCUUGACGACGACUGGCGCACGGGUGAGUAACGCGUAUCCAACCUUCCCAUGACCACGGGAUAACCCGUUGAAAGACGGACUAAUACCGUAUGACGUCGUUUGCUGACAUCAAAUAACGAUUAAAGGUUUAGCGGUGAUGGAUGGGGAUGCGUCUGAUUAGCUUGUUGGCGGGGUAACGGCCCACCAAGGCUACGAUCAGUAGGGGUUCUGAGAGGAAGGUCCCCCACAUUGGAACUGAGACACGGUCCAAACUCCUACGGGAGGCAGCAGUGAGGAAUAUUGGUCAAUGGGCGAGAGCCUGAACCAGCCAAGUAGCGUGCAGGAUGACGGCCCUAUGGGUUGUAAACUGCUUUUAUGCGGGGAUAAAGUGCGUGACGUGUCAUGCAUUGCAGGUACCGCAUGAAUAAGGACCGGCUAAUUCCGUGCCAGCAGCCGCGGUAAUACGGAAGGUCCGGGCGUUAUCCGGAUUUAUUGGGUUUAAAGGGAGCGUAGGCCGCCAGAUAAGCGUGUUGUGAAAUGUACCGGCUCAACCGGUGAAUUGCAGCGCGAACUGUUUGGCUUGAGUGCACGGUAAGCAGGCGGAAUUCAUGGUGUAGCGGUGAAAUGCUUAGAUAUCAUGAAGAACUCCGAUUGCGAAGGCAGCUUGCUGCAGUGCGACUGACGCUGAUGCUCGAAGGUGCGGGUAUCAAACAGGAUUAGAUACCCUGGUAGUCCGCACGGUAAACGAUGGAUGCCCGCUGUCCGCCUAUUGUGGCGGGUGGCCAAGCGAAAGCGUUAAGCAUCCCACCUGGGGAGUACGCCGGCAACGGUGAAACUCAAAGGAAUUGACGGGGGCCCGCACAAGCGGAGGAACAUGUGGUUUAAUUCGAUGAUACGCGAGGAACCUUACCCGGGCUUGAACUGCCAGUGAACGAUACAGAGAUGUUGAGGCCCUUCGGGGCGCUGGUGGAGGUGCUGCAUGGUUGUCGUCAGCUCGUGCCGUGAGGUGUCGGCUUAAGUGCCAUAACGAGCGCAACCCCUUUUUUCAGUUGCCAUCA
rnacentral:rRNA from 1 species